GAGUAAUGGAGUGGAGAAAACCGGGCCGGGGGUUUUAUAAGGAAAUAGAAGAAGAUGGGUUGCUGAGUGGACAUAAUAUUUGCCACGUGGAGUCCUACAUGGCAGUAAUAAUCCUGAAAUUGGCAGUUUGCUAGCGUGACAAUUAUUGCACUUUCACUCAGUUGGGUCCAUGGAUAUGGGCCAGAUGGCGAGACGUGUCGCGUGGAUGAAGUGGAAGUGGGGGACGAGAGCGGGGCAAAGUUUACGGUGUUCGCAAAAAUAUUUACCAUCUCGAAAAUAAACUUGGGUAUAGGGCCAGGUGGCGGUCAACAUUCGUGAUGACCAUGGACCGCCAGACAUGCGUCCGUACGUGGUCCGGUUUAGGCUCCCUGUUCGGUUCCACAAAAAUAAGAUUGUCCAAGUGUUGAUUCUAAUUAAAACAAAGCCAAGAAGUAAUUCUAACUUUUGAAAUUAGU